rnacentral:rRNA from 1 species
AGGGAAACCGAGUCUUAACUGGGCGUUAAGUUGCAGGGUAUAGACCCGAAACCCGGUGAUCUAGCCAUGGGCAGGUUGAAGGUUGGGUAACACUAACUGGAGGACCGAACCGACUAAUGUUGAAAAAUUAGCGGAUGACUUGUGGCUGGGGGUGAAAGGCCAAUCAAACCGGGAGAUAGCUGGUUCUCCCCGAAAGCUAUUUAGGUAGCGCCUCGUGAAUUCAUCUUCGGGGGUAGAGCACUGUUUCGGCCAGGGGGUCAUCCCGACUUACCAACCCGAUGCAAACUGCGAAUACCGGAGAAUGUUAUCACGGGAGACACACGGCGGGUGCUAACGUCCGUCGUGAAGAGGGAAACAACCCAGACCGCCAGCUAAGGUCCCAAAGUCAUGGUUAAGUGGGAAACGAUGUGGGAAGGCACAGACAGCCAGGAUGUUGGCUUAGAAGCAGCCAUCAUUUAAAGAAAGCGUAAUAGCUCACUGGUCGAGUCGGCCUGCGCGGAAGAUGUAACGGGGCUAAACCAUGCACCGAAGCUGCGGCAGCGACACUCUGUGUUGUUGGGUAGGGGAGCGUUCUGUAAGCCGUUGAAGGUGUGCUGUGAGGCAUGCUGGAGGUAUCAGAAGUGCGAAUGCUGACAUAAGUAACGAUAAUGCGGGUGAAAAACCCGCACGCCGGAAGACCAAGGGUUCCUGUCCAACGUUAAUCGGGGCAGGGUGAGUCGACCCCUAAGGCGAGGCCGAAAGGCGUAGUCGAUGGGAAACAGGUUAAUAUUCCUGUACUUGGUGUUACUGCGAAGGGGGGACGGAGAAGGCUAUGUUAGCCGGGCGACGGUUGUCCCGGUUUAAGCAUGUAGGCGGAGCGUUUAGGUAAAUCCGGACGCUUAUUAACGCUGAGGUGUGAUGACGAGGCACUACGGUGCUGAAGUAACAAAUGCCCUGCUUCCAGGAAAAGCCUCUAAGCAUCAGGUAACAUCAAAUCGUACCCCAAACCGACACAGGUGGUCAGGUAGAGAAUACCAAGGCGCUUGAGAGAACUCGGGUGAAGGAACUAGGCAAAAUGGUGCCGUAACUUCGGGAGAAGGCACGCUGACACGUAGGUGAAGUGAUUUACUCAUGGAGCUGAAGUCAGUCGAAGAUACCAGCUGGCUGCAACUGUUUAUUAAAAACACAGCACUGUGCAAACACGAAAGUGGACGUAUACGGUGUGACGCCUGCCCGGUGCCGGAAGGUUAAUUGAUGGGGUCAGCGCAAGCGAAGCUCCUGAUCGAAGCCCCGGUAAACGGCGGCCGUAACUAUAACGGUCCUAAGGUAGCGAAAUUCCUUGUCGGGUAAGUUCCGACCUGCACGAAUGGCGUAAUGAUGGCCAGGCUGUCUCCACCCGAGACUCAGUGAAAUUGAACUCGCUGUGAAGAUGCAGUGUACCCGCGGCAAGACGGAAAGACCCCGUGAACCUUUACUAUAGCUUGACACUGAACAUUGAGCCUUGAUGUGUAG